GGUGGCUCAGUGGUAGAGUGCUUGCCUUGGACGCACGAGGCCCUGGGUUCAAUUCCUCAGCACCA
rnacentral:tRNA from 1 species